AAGCAUAUAACUAAGCGGAGGAAAAGAAACUAACAAGGAUUCCCCCAGUAGCGGCGAGCGAAGCGGGAAGAGCCCGGGAUGAAAAUCUCUUCGGAGAGUUGUAGUCUGAGCUCCCUUGGGCGGUCAGUGUGGGUAAAUCGUCUGGGAUGACGUGCCAGGGAGGGUGAGAGCCCCGUCCAGCCCACACAGGACCCGCCCGCACGAGGGCGCUUCAACCGAGUCGGGUAGCUUGGGAAUGCUGCUCCAAAUGGUGGUAAAUCUCAUCAAAGGCUAAAUAACGGUGGGAGACCGAUAGCGAACAAGUACCGUGAGGGAAAGAUGGAAAGAACUUUGAAAAGAGAGUGAAAAGCGCUUGAAACCGUCACGGGGGAAGCGGAUUGCGUGAGUGAUGGCGUGCACUGUUCAGCUCGGAGAGACGAGUGUAUUCUGUGCACGCCGGGCGUGUGUGGCUGGGGCGCGUGCGAAGUUUGGCACGCGCGCCUGGUGAGGGCUCCCCGCUUGUCGGGUGAGGACACACGCGAAAUGACGCAAUACGACCCGUCUUGAAACACGGACCAAGGAGUCUAGCACGGCUGCGAGUCGAAGGGUGUAGAAACCCAGAGGGCGCAGUGAAAGCGAAAGAAAGCAAAUUGGGGAGGCGUUGCGGUUUUACCAAAGUGUCCUACCUCGAGCACCUGUGCUGGGACCCGAAAGAUGGUGAACUAUGCCGGAGUAGGGCAAAGCCAGAGGAAACUCUGGUGGAGGCUCGUAGCGAUGCUGACGUGCAAAUCGCUCGUCGAACUUGGGUAUAGGGGCGAAAGACUAAUCGAACCAUCUAGUAGCUGGUUCCCUCCGAAGUUUCUCUCAGGAUAGCGGGCCGACGAUGUGUUGUUUUGUGCGGUAAAGCGAAUGAUUAGUGCAUUUGGGGGCCGAAGGCCUUCAGGCGAUUCUCAAACUUUAAAUGCGCAAGGGGGCGGCUGCUUAAUUGAGCCUGCUCUUUGAAAAACGUCGGCCCUGUGGGCCACUUUUGGUAAGCAGAACUGGCGAUAAGGGAUGAACCUUAAGCGCGGUUAAGGCGCCGUAUUGCCCGCUUAUAG
rnacentral:rRNA from 1 species